ACACACUGGUUCUGGACGUGGCAGGAGGAGGGAGAAAGGAGGAGGUCCAGUGAAAGCUGAGGAGAGGAAGACGWGAACACAAACUGUGUGAGGACAGCAGCAGAAAGUUACAAACAGCUGCUGAUCUCCUGAAGGAGUCCGAUCACCUCCUCUGUAGACCUGCUCUGAGUCUGAACCAGCUGAUCGAUGAGAACUUUAUGACCACAGGUGCCCAUUAAAACCAGUGGAAACAGCGAAGCUCCAACAGUGAAACAAAUUCACUGCCAAGAGGUCAACAUGAAGCUGAAAGAAGAGUUUCUGCACAUGGUUCAGGAGGUGUGGUCAAAACUGCAGGGACUUCCACAAGCAAGUCCUCUGGAGCUGGGAGCCUUCUUCAUCCUCAUCCUCUUUGUUGGCACAUUAAUCUCCAUGAUGCUGAUCUGCUGCAUUCAUUGCUGCUGCUGUGGAAAGCCCAGAUACCAGGCCUCCAGAGUUCAGCCUCUGCAGCCUGUCUGAAGCAGAGACAGGGACCAGAACCUGCUGAAAACAGUCCUCCCCCCACCCUCACCUGACUGACAUGGAUCUGGACACAUUCUCCACUUCCUGAGAAUCAAAUGGGACCCAACGAUGGAAGACUGGGGUCCUGAUAUUUUCAGUGCUGGUUUAGAGAUUAGAGACUGGAUCAGGACUGGGGAAGCCACACCACUGGUCAUAAAACCCAUCACUGAACAGGACAAUGAAACACUGAGGCAGUGUUUCAGGGAUUAUAAGAAAAUGGGAAAAGCUGCUCUGUUUAACCCACUCUUAUAGAGGCUUUGUAAUCAGUGAACGUUCAUUAGAAACAUGACAAACAUCAUGAGUAACACACAUUCCAGCAUGUGGAGUAAAAACAGAAAAGGCCUUCUGUUCAUGAUUGAGCACUUUAAUAUAAAAUCAGAGAUGUUUACCGUUCAAAACACAGGAGCUCUGACAGGAUUUUGCAGGAACAGACCCAGGGUGCAGGCAGGCUCAUAAAAUAGAACAAAAGAUUUAUUAAGUAACAGAAAACUGCUGUCGAGGCAKCUCAAGCUUACAGGUAUU